UACGGGGGGAGCAAGCGUUGUUCGGAUUUACUGGCGUAAAGGGCGCGUAGGCGGUCAGCACAAGUCAGUUGUGAAAUCUCCGGGCUUAACUCGGAAAGGUCAAACUGAUACUGUGCGACUAGAGUGCAGAAAGGGGCAACUGGAAUUCUCGGUGUAGCGGUGAAAUGCGUAGAUAUCGAGAGGAACACCUGCGGCGAAGGCGGGUUGCUGGGCUGACACUGACGUGAUGCGCGAAAGCCGGGGAGGCGAAACGGGGAUUUAAGAAACCCCCAGUUAGUCCAA
rnacentral:rRNA from 1 species